rnacentral:rRNA from 1 species
AUUCAUUAUGUCCUUUCCAUAGGGGAACUACGGAAGGAU